rnacentral:misc_RNA from 1 species
CUGAAUUGAAAUAUUGUAAAAUUAUAGUUUCUAAACAAAGAAAAUAAGAUAGACAUAAAUUCUAUCAUUGUAUUAUAAAAUUUGUACAUAUAUAUAUUGAAAGGAUUUAUUUAUGUUUCGUUUGAUUAACUUUUUUCUCCUUUAUGGUCUUGUAAAAUAUAAUGAUUAAAAAAACAAGUUAAACAAAGAAAUUAAAAUUCAAUAGUUUUCAUUAUAAAAUGUUACCCUUUCUACAUUUUACCUUUGGCUUAAUUGCUUGCUGUAUUUAUCUAUAUAUAAUUAAUGCACUGAGAAAUGAUGAUGAUACGUUCAUAGCCUAAACUUAUAUCGAGUCUAUUGAUACUUUAUUUUUUUUGCUCAGAACCUAAAUGAAUAAAUGUAGAAGCUAAUGGCGCAGAUGGAAGGAAUGUUAAACAGGAUCUAGGGCUUUGAUGAUGUAUUGUUUAUCUAGUUAGGGUUGAUAAUCAAUGAGACCUACAUUGAAUUAACACUUAUAUAUGCACCUUAUUAUUACAAUUACUAUAUCAUGCAUAAGAUGACUAUUAAUAUUUUUUUCAGGUGGAAAGAUGAUUAUUAAUAGUGAUAACUUGCAAGUCAAUGUUUUUUAAUCACAUACUAACAAUUGGAGUAAUGAUUAAUAACUUAUUCUUGCAAAUUUUAGGGUUUAUGGGAUGAUUAAUCCACAAUAAUUAGUGCAAUUCUUAUAUUGGAUAUAUUUUGGAAUUAAUUAUAUCUCUAUUUGUUUUGAAUAAAUGCAGCCCCAGAGAAG